rnacentral:rRNA from 1 species
AGUGAACGCUGGCGGUAGGCCUAACACAUGCAAGUCGAACGGCAGCACAGUAAGAGCUUGCUCUUACGGGUGGCGAGUGGCGGACGGGUGAGGAAUACAUCGGAAUCUACUUUUUCGUGGGGGAUAACGUAGGGAAACUUACGCUAAUACCGCAUACGACCUACGGGUGAAAGCAGGGGAUCUUCGGACCUUGCGCGAUUGAAUGAGCCGAUGUCGGAUUAGCUAGUUGGCGGGGGAAAGGCCCACCAAGGCGACGAUCCGUAGCUGGUCUGAGAGGAUGAUCAGCCACACUGGAACUGAGACACGGUCCAGACUCCUACGGGAGGCAGCAGUGGGGAAUAUUGGACAAUGGGCGCAGGCCUGAUCCAGCCAUACCGCGUGGGUGAAGAAGGCCUUCGGGUUGUAAAGCCCUUUUGUUGGGAAAGAAAAGCAGCAGGUUAAUACCCCGCUGUUCUGACGGUACCCAAAGAAUAAGCACCGGCUAACUUCGUG